UAAGGAGGUAUGGUAGGACUCGCUGGCCAUUCGAUGGCAGCCCAUUUGUUGUUCUACCCCGAGUGGUAGACAAAGGUCCUUAUGAUCCUAUAUUGAUUUUACCAAGGGUGGUAAGUCAAUGGUCACUAUUGAUCCUAAUCCUGUUCGUCCUAAGAUCACAAUGGUGCAAGGAGGAUCAGCCGAAUUCACCUCACACAUGACCGAUCUCACACUUCGGA
rnacentral:lncRNA from 1 species